rnacentral:rRNA from 1 species
CGUGCUUAACACAUGCAAGUCGUACGAACUUUGGAGGGCUUGCUCUUCAAGGUUAGUGGCGGACGGGUGCGUAACACGUGAGCAACUUGUCCUACGGUGGGGGAUAGCCGGCCCAACGGCCGGGUAAUACCGCGUAUGCAUCGGCAUCGCAUGGUGCUGAUGUGAAAGCGGCCGUAAGGUCGCGCCGGAGGAGGGGCUCGCGGCGUAUCAGCUUGUUGGUGGGGUAACGGCCUACCAAGGCUACGACGCGUAGCUGGUCUGAGAGGAUGAUCAGCCACAUUGGGACUGAGAUACGGCCCAGACUCCUACGGGAGGCAGCAGUGGGGAAUAUUGCGCAAUGGCCGCAAGGCUGACGCAGCGACGCCGUGUGUGGGAUGAAGGCCCUCGGGUUGUAAACCACUGUCAGGAGGGACGAAUACUCGGCUUCAAAUAGUUGACCGAGGGUGACGGUACCUCCAGAGGAAGCACCGGCUAACUCCGUGCCAGCAGCCGCGGUAACACGGAGGGUGCAAGCGUUGUCCGGAUUCACUGGGCGUAAAGCGCGCAGUAGGCGGUUCUGUAAGUCACCUGUGAAAUCCCGGGGCUCAGCUCCGGGGCUGC